rnacentral:lncRNA from 1 species
ACACAACUUGGAAAACUUGCUCUCCAAAAGGAACAUACAGUAAGGAGAUCAAAACUCCAUCUGGGGCCGGGCACGGUGGCUCACGUCUGUAAUCCCAGCACUUUGGGAGGCCGAGGCAGGCGGAUCACCUGAGGUCAGGGGUUCGAGACCAGCCUGGCCAACAUGGUGAAACCCGGUCUCUGCUAAAAAUACAAAAAUUAGCUGGGUGUGGUGGCGGGUGUGGUGGCAGGCACGGUGGCAGGUGCCUGUAAUCCCAGCUACUCAGGAGAACUUGCAAACUCCAAAGAUGGGAGGGCAUGGAAUUCAAGAGGGUGGGGAUCAAUAAAUAUCAGAGUCUUUAUUCAGACUCGGUAAGGAAACAACCUUUAAGGUCAAGAAGUCACCAGAUCUUAAAACAUGCCCUGGUGUUCCCACAGUGGCAGGGAGCCUGAAGGUGCAGGGUGGCAGAGGGGGGUCCAGGGUGGUGGCCUUGGCCAGGGAAUCUCUAGAUAUGAAAAUUGCUCUGGCAGCCCCAGGCUUGCCCUUUGCUUGGGUCCUGAACACCCAGCAUAUUACACUCACGGAGCAUGAGCCGCUUCCUUCAUUCUGCAGGGGACAGUUGCCUUCCCAGGUACCUGGCCUGAAAUCCUGAGUGCUGAGGAAGGGCAUGGCUGCUGGACAGGCGUCAUGGUUGUACCAGGUCCCAGGGAGACAGCUGUCAUGGCUUAUGCUAUAGGUCGCCUGAGCCCCCAGCUUCCACCCAGGAUGGCAAACUGUAGCAAGGACCCCACCAGUAAACAGGACAACAGCAAUCAUCUCCUUGAAGGCAAACAUGGGGCCCAAACAUGCCAGGCUCAAAGGGUCUCCUGUUUGACUCUCAAGCCCCGGCCAGGCCAAGGCCAUCUCCAUCUUUACAGAUGAGAAGCCUGGAGCCUGCAGAGCUAAACACCUGUUCCAGCACAGUUGUAAGGCACAGAACUGGGACUGGUGCCCAGCCCUGGCUGUGACUCCUCGUCCAGCAGCCCACACCCUCCUCCUAGUGUCCCAAGUUCUCCACCAUCCUUCCCCCAGGAGGACAGGCCACCCCUCGCCCUCUGUACUCACAUUCUGCAUGAACUCACAGAAAGGUCAC